rnacentral:misc_RNA from 1 species
AACGCUAUUAAUGAUACAGUUUCUGUACUAUAUUG